AUACGUAGGUGGCAAGCGUUAUCCGGAUUUACUGGGUGUAAAGGGCGUGUAGGCGGGUCUGCAAGUCAGAUGUGAAAUCUCCCGGCUUAAAUCGGAAGUGUCAUCUGAAACUACGGAUCUUGAGUACUGGAGAGGAUAGUGGAAUUUCUAGUGUAGCGGUAAAAUGCGUAGAUAUUAGGAGGAACACCAGUGGCGAAGGCGGCUAUCUGGACAGUAACUGACGCUGAGGCGCGAAAGCGUGGGGAGCAAACAGGAUUAGAUCCCCUGGUAGUCCACGCCGUAAACGAUGAAUACUAGGUGUAGGAGGUAUCGACUCCUCCUGUGCCGCAGCUAACGCAAUAAGUAUUCCACCUGGGGAGUACGGCCGCAAGGUUGAAACUCAAAUGAAUUGACGGGG
rnacentral:rRNA from 1 species